rnacentral:rRNA from 1 species
GGGUACACCACGUUGAAAUAACACUUACCGUACGAUCGCUGAAGAUAAGCAACGUCAAGCCUGGCCAGUACCUAGAUGGGUUACCGUUUGGGAAUACCAGGUGCUGUAA